rnacentral:misc_RNA from 1 species
UAUGCUAUUUAAUUAGUUUAUUGAUAAUAUUACAGACAUUAUUUGAAAAAUGAUGAGGGUUCCGAGAAUAUUAGGUGUUCUGCAGAAAACUUUAAGGACCAAGUAUUUUGAGGAGACCAGACUAAUACAUACUUCAAUGCUUCGGCUGGAGAAGAGGUAUAGUGAGAAGCAUGAAUGGGCAGAAUUAAAUCAAGAUAAAAGUGUAAGUGUUGGAAUCAGUCAGUAUGCAGCAGAUGCACUUGGUGAUGUUGUAUUUGCAUCUCUACCCGACCCAGGACAAGAUGUUAACACUCAAACAGAAUGUGGAGCUUUAGAAUCUGUUAAAGCUGCCUCAGAAAUAUAUUCUCCCUUGGCUGGUACAGUUCUUGAAAAGAACGAAAGUGUAGAAGAUAAACCAAGUUUAAUAAAUACAUCCCCUGAGGAGAAAGGAUGGUUAUUCAGAUUAUCAGUAGCAGAUAGUUCAGAUUUCAAGAAUUUAAUGAAUAAAGAUGAAUACACCAAGUUUCUGGAAUCUCAAACAGAAGAUUUAGAUUAGUUCAACAAUUAUCAAGGCUAUUAAUAAGAUUGUUUACUCUUUAUGCGCUCCGAUUUGAGCGCAUAGAGAGUAACCAACCUUAUUAUACAAUCUUGACUAUUAUUAACAUAAUGCGAAAUAAAUGUAACUCACCAGUCACCAAAGAUGUAAUAAUUAAGUUGCUAUUAAAUUAAUAAUGAUUUCAUAAUUCA